UCCCGCGGCCCAGCUGGUUUGUUUUCAACAAUACGGUCAAAGCCACACGCCCACCGUUAUUUACGCCGCCAGCCAGCGCCGGCACUUCGGAGGGAGGAAGGAAGCACCUAAGGCGCUGGGGGCGGAAACGCUGAGGAGGAGGGGUGCGCCUCAGGCGAGAGCUGGCCGGCGCCGACCCGGCCUGGGGCAGCGGCCGCAGCUCCCCGCCCGGGACCGCGCAAAAAGGCCCAAGGUCCCGGGCCGCACUCACCGAAGUCCAGGAACUGCUUCAUGGAGAGCGGGGACGGCGAGAAGCGCGCGUAGAAGUCCACCUGGCCCGGAACGCCGCGCUCGGACGCCGGGCUGGAGCCCGAGUCCGAGCUGAAGCUGCGGCUGAAGCCGGCGGCGCGCAGCCCCGGGCCCGGGCCGGCCAAGGCGGCUCCGCGAAGCAGCCGCGCCAGCCUCAUGCCGAGUCCCGCUAGAGAAGCCACAGCCAGUACGCCAGGUUUCCCCGCGCCUCUGCCGAGUGGGUUGAAGGCAAAUACUUGAAGUUGCAAUCGAAGGUCAAGAAAAUGGAAUCAAGAGGUCACAAUCCUUCUCUGAUGAUGGCUUAGAAAGCUGGAAGACACUCAACAUUGAAUCCUGGGGCUCUGUGCCAUGCUUGCUAGGAGAAACAGCCACCAUGAGUCCAUCUUUCAGAUCUCAAGUGAACAGCAUGGUAUCGGGGAACACUGUCAUCGUACCUAGAGCGUUUAAAGAAUCCACACUAGAGAAGAGGGAAAGAGAAAGAGAAACAAAUUAAUCUCACAAAGAAGCAAAUACACUAAAUGGGAAUGUCUAAGCUUUCUGUUCAGCUAUGUCUACCUCUGGACUAAGGGGAAAAAGACAUGGUUUUCUUUUAAGAAAGAACCAAGAGGCUGAAAUGAAAGAAGAGCCAGUGGGGAUCAACGGAAGAGAACAGCUGUAAAACUGGAAGAAAAGUCCAUUUUCAUCUUCUCUUUACAUUUUAUAACAAAUGUAGGCUACCUCUUUACUAACAAUUUAAGAGUUUAUGAAAACAGUGCUUCCAUAUUUAAAAAUAAUCACAAUAUGAUAUGUAAAAUAUCUGAUUAUCAGAUUAGAUUAAGAAUAAUUUUUAAAUGGCAUAAACCAAAGAUUAUUUCAUGCCCCUUUCCCACUAAUAAAAUGCAAAUCAUGUCACAAGUAUUUUACAAAUUACUAUUUGAAUAUGCCAGUGUUCCAACAGGUCAACUUUAUAAUCUUUUUCUCUCCUCUGAGGCUCUAGUACACAUAUCACUUCUCUCAUUAGCCAGGAGGUCAUUUAUGUUGCCUGGAUUUGCUAUUGUGCUUCUAAUUAAGCUAUUUCAUUAAUCACAUAGUAACUGUUUCCUGCAAUAAAAAUCAUGUGCUGCAUAGGA
ensembl:lncRNA ITGA6-AS1 ITGA6 antisense RNA 1